AUCCUUACAUGGCAGGGGAGACACCGUGAUCACAAAGGUGGUUUUCCCAGGGCAAGGCUUAUCCAUUGCACUCUGGAUUUGCUGACCCCUGUGAUUUCUCCAAAUGUGGGAAACUCGACUGCAUAAUUUGUGGUAGUGGGGGACUGUGUUCGCAAUCUCCCG
rnacentral:snRNA from 1 species